GACAGAGGCCACGAACGUUGUUCGGAAUCACUGGGCAUAAAGCGCACGUAGGCGGCUAGGUCCGUCCGAUGUGAAAGCCCCCGGCUCAACCGGGGAAUUGCAUCGGAUACAGCCUGGCUUGAGGACGGUUGGGGUGAGUGGAACUCCUGGUGGAGCGGUGAAAUGCGUUGAUAUCCAUAGGAACUCCGGUGGCGAAAGCGGUGUGCUGGAUCCUUUCUGACGCUGAGGCGCGAAAGCCAGGGGAGCAAACGGG
rnacentral:rRNA from 1 species